rnacentral:rRNA from 1 species
GAUGAACGCUAGCUACAGGCUUAACACAUGCAAGUCGAGGGGAAACGACAUCGAAAGCUUGCUUUUGAUGGGCGUCGACCGGCGCACGGGUGAGUAACGCGUAUCCAACCUGCCCACCACUUGGGGAUAACCUUGCGAAAGUAAGACUAAUACCCAAUGACGUCUCUAGAAGACAUCUGAAGGAGAUUAAAGAUUUAUCGGUGAUGGAUGGGGAUGCGUCUGAUUAGCUUGUUGGCGGGGUAACGGCCCACCAAGGCGACGAUCAGUAGGGGUUCUGAUAGGAAGGUCCGCCAGAUUGGAACUGAGACACGGUCCAAACUCCGACGGGAGGCAGGAGUGAGGAAGAUUGGGGAAUGGACGAGAGCCUGACCCAGCCAAGUAGCGUGCAGGAUGACGGCCCUAUGGGUUGUAACCUGCUUUUAUAAGGGAAUAAAGUGAGUCUCGUGAGACUUUUUGCAUGUACCUUAUGAAUAAGGACCGGCUAAUUCCGUGCCAGCCGCCGCGGUAA